GCGGCCAUGUUGGAAACUCAGCGCCAUCACCGAAUGGUGAGGGAUGUAGGGAAAGAGAGGUCACGUGGGUAGGAGCCGAGUCACCCAACUGACACCAUGUCAGGGAAGCAUCGCUUGCAAGUCCUACCCGGUCCCCAAAGCACAGGAUGGCAGGCACGGAGAUGGUUGUGGUUUUGAGCCCCUCAGUUUUGGGGUGGCUUGUCCUAGAGCGAUAGACAGCUAAAGCAAUGGGUGAUGGUCACCAAUGCAAUAUGGACUGAAAAGGAAAUACGAUUAAUCCUACCGGCAUCACCUGGGAACACCGGAAAGGGGCCUUGGUGUGCAUUGUGAAGGGGAAACACCUCACGAAAAGUCGCUAUUACCAACCUUCCAGCUCAGGCAGCUGAUUCCUGUGUCGCAACAGGAAUGUUGCGACUAAACAGGGCGAUGUUUAGUCCCUGCUAUGUGCUGUUCCCAGUGCUUUACUCUCUCAUUCAGGCCUCCCCACAACCCUCUGAGGCAGGUGUGCAACUAUUAUCACCUGCAUCUUGCCGUUGUGAAAACUGAGGCUAAGAAGCGUUAAGGAUCUUGUCCGAAGUCAAACAGCCAACGAGUAGUGUAGCAAGGAAUCCGCUCCAGACCCUGCAGUACCAGAGUCUAAGCUUUUUUAAUCUCUCUGCCUAAAGCUAGGGUUCAGGACAGCAGCUCGGGCUUUGUCACAUAAAUAUCCUUUGGCAGGCCAUUUAGCUGCUCCAAGCCCAGCUUUCAAAUCUGUAAGAGCAGGGAGUUGGAUUAGAUCAGUGGUUCUCAAACUGUGCCCCCUGGCGCAAGGAGAGGCCUUUGGGACCCAGAGAACUGGGAGCUGGGUGUUUUCAGCUUCCUCCCCGGCUUGGCCAGAGGCAGCUCGCCUGGUAGCUGACUUACACGAAGGGGUUCCACGCCAGCAUUCAAUCAAGGAGUAGAUUCUGCUGAUGAAGACACAUUCGAGAACGGCCAAAUUCUGGAGUUCUGCAAUUUGACUGGCUGCACCUUCAGACCCCAUUACCACCACCUGCUCCUCCCAGGUGGCUGAAUGCUGGACCCCACCAGCACGUGGCGUCCCUUCCCUGUCCCACAUUAGCUUGGCUGGUUCUAACAGUUGCAGGGCCCGGUGACACAGUCAGAGCACCUGCUUUGUAUGUGAUCCUUGUGUAAGGCAGGCAUUACGGGGAGAUGCAGGUCCUUUCCAGUAAUCUGAUCUUCACGUUAUCAUAUCAAACCUCGGCUGGAGUGCCGUCCCAUUAUUUAGUAUUUUGUUAAAGGGCUGCCUUCCCAGGGUGGGGGCUGCGGGAUGAGAAUGAAGAAGGUCAAGAGCCUCCAAUAUCACGGUGGGAACAGAUGGGCUGGAUCCAGGGCUGAGAGGAGCCUGUCUGGCCACAGAUGGAUCCAGUACCGGUUCUGAGGAGAACCGAAUUCUUCUUUCAGCUCUGACACUACAUCAUCCCGCGGCUUCAGACAAGUCAUAUUUACAAGGAACUUCGUGUGUCCUGAAGUUGGCAGGAGGGUUGUUUAUCUGCUCCCAUCACAGUCGUCUUAAGUGACCAGUGGCAGAUGAAGACAGACCUUCUCCCCUGGAUCCAGAGCCCGUUUCAGGAGAGGCUGACAGGUAGUUGGUGCCCCGGGGCUGGAGGCUGAAGCCACGUGGCUUUCUUCAAGGGUGGAGCCCAUCGCGGCGUCUGCCACACGGAGUUCCUAGAACGUUUUUGGUCUUCUUGUACUGUGCCAAAAAGCCUUUCUUGUUUUACUGUGCAUCCUGAAAUGCCUUACCAUUUUUUAAGGCGAGGCCUGGGUAUGGAAGGUUCAAAAUGCCCCUGCUCCAUUGGCUUUGCCACCUCUCCCCAUGCUUUCCCUACUACCACGCAGAGGGGGCUGCUGUCACUGGAAGAAACGUCCCCAGUGUGUCGGAAAAUGGGGAAACAGUGUGGGGGCAGCAAAUAAUAAUAAAGAACGGUGAUGUUUUCCCU